ensembl:lncRNA
AGGAGCCUGAUACCCAGACACUAAAGAGACUCGUUAGGGCAGGACAAGAAAACUAACAAGGUUCCUAUAGUCACCAACAGAAAGAGUCUGGGAAGGCUGGAAAAACAGGAAGAUUGUGUAACAGUAGGCAAGAAGCAGGCAGACAGCUAAACUCUGGAAGUCCAACAAUGGAUGUCCUGGCUGGCAAGCAGAGAAUAGAAUCCACUCUGUAGGCAGAGGCUGAAACAAUCAGUACAUAGCAGGAAUCCAAUCAUGGGAAUUGGGAUUAAGAAACAAAUGAGCAAUUUCUUACGAAGUCUGGCAAAACAGUGCUAAACAAGGCAGUGUACCAUGCCUAAAGGAACUGGCACAUCAGAUGACGUCCAGGAAAAGAGGCAGAGACAGGCGAAUAAAAAUGGCACACAAGACACCCAGUUACUUCAAGUAAUCUGUGAGCUCAGAGUAGGACCACAAAUAAUAGGUCCACAGGGUGCUAAAUGACCCAAACUACUGAAAUAAUGGCUUCUUGAAUUGUCUCUGACUAGGAGCAGGAUUGGUCCCAGCAGAAGAAAAGUGGACAACAAGAAAAGCCUUGGGAGCAGUAAUGACCAAUAAUGGUCACUUACCUGGAGUGUCCUAGUUAUUACUGCUUGGAUCAGUAAUGGUCCAAAGUCUUGACUGAAGGAAGAAAAUAAAGUCAAGGGAGAAACUGAAGACAACCUAUAUGAAACCUAGAGAUGGAAUCAUCAUCUCUCAGCCAUAAAACCUCCUUACAGUAAUGGUAAAAUAAAAAGAUAGUAGGAGUCUUGGUCCCUGAUGAUACC